UAUUCCCCACUGCUGCCUCCCGUAGGAGUCUGGGCCGUAUCUCAGUCCCAAUGUGGCCGUUCAACCUCUCAGUCCGGCUACUGAUCGUCGCCUUGGUGGGCCGUUACCUCACCAACUAGCUAAUCAGACGCGAGGCCAUCUUUCAGCGAUAAAUCUUUGACAUUAAGGCCAUGCGACCUCAAUGUGUCAUGCGGUAUUAGCAGUCGUUUCCAACUGUUGUCCCCCUCUGAAAGGCAGGUUCCUCACGCGUUACUCACCCGUCCGCCACUGUCCUCUGCUUCUAUUGGACGAAUCCUCUUUCCGCAGAUUCUCGUUCGACUUGCAUGUGUUAAGCACGCCGCCAGCGUUCAUCCUGAGCCA
rnacentral:rRNA from 1 species